GUCCGCAUAGCUUAGCACCAAA
rnacentral:tRNA from 1 species